rnacentral:lncRNA from 1 species
AUGGGAGAAGACUAAAACAAGAAAGAAUUAAAGUACAUCAUCAUCGAGUUUCAAAGGAAGAAAAUGAAGAACUUGCACCAAAAGUUCUCUUCUUGUAAAAUCCUUGAAACCUUAGCUCAUUGAUUGAUUUCUUGAUUAUUUCCUACUUAUGGGCUUGUAUAAUAUUUGUACAAUGAAUCCCCACAAACCUCAGCUUCAAUACAUGUAUAAUGAAAUCCUCCAAGCCUUCCUUUAAUUGUUGGACUUAGACAUUUACUUACAGAAUGAGAUUAGGGAAGAUCUUUGUUCAACUGGGUUUCCGCGAAGAGUUUGACAAGUAAAAUGAAACAAUUUUCUUUUCCAGUUAGACUCAUUUUCUCAUGUCACUUUAAUCCUUCAUAAAGUAUUUACAAUUAAGUCAUCUUCCUUCCAAAAUUAUUAAUAAUUGACCCUAUUCAAGUUCCGAAAGUUUGUAAUUUAGUUUUAAACUUUACAAACGGCAAAUUUAACUCCCCAAACUUAAGAAUUUUUUACCAAAUGCCCAAUUAAUACUUCUAAUUGAUCACUUGCAAUCCAAUUAAUCUUCUAUUUCCAUGAAUCAACUCCAAUUAUGCUCAAAAUAGCCUUUUUCACACUAGUUUAUCCUACAAUAAAUAUAAGUUACACAAAUUGAGUUAACAAUCUUCAAGUGCAUAAUAUUCGAUGAUUUUGUAGAGAUAGGAAUAAGAAUAAUGCUCAUUGUACACUCCAUGUUGUACAUGAAAUUUGACAUUGCUAACAAAUUCUUGCAUAUUUAAAAAUGUAUAGGCGGGAAAGUGCUUUUCAUUUUAAAAUUGGUCAUUCGUUGUAUAACAAGUGGCACAAUGUCAAACUUAACGUCAAAGAAAAUGUACGUGUAGCAAGAUUGUAGGAACAAUGUCCAGUUCAUUGUAUGUAGCUAGCUAAGAGUUAUUUGGAGAAAGGACAUAUUUGCAAUAUCAGUCCUACUGGAACUAUGAAUUGCCAAUUUGUGGGCUGGCUUUUCAAAAGUUAACAGCAUCCAGAUCUGAUUCAUGAUCAGAAAUCUGUAAGUUUGGAGUACUGGUUAGUAACCUUUUUGUUGUAUAUCAAUAAAACAUCUUAUACACCAUAGUGUACAACCCUCUCACAAUAUGAGGGGGCCCACAUGAAUUUUAUAAUUGUGGACCCCCUCACUGUGAGAAAAGAGUGUAAGGGGACGUACACCAAGCACUACUAGUUGUAUAUUUAGCAACAACAGAUAAUUCGAAUACAAACAAGGAGGUCACAGCUAUGGGCUCUGCAAUCAUGAGGAAAGUCUACCCCAUUCCCUACCCUUCGUUAUGUAGUAGAAGGCAAAGACCCAAAAAUACACUGGACGAUAAUAUUCAUGUUGCACUAAAAUAUUACAAGUAGAAGUUAUCAUAAAUAAGUAAUAAAGUGAACCUAGUAUAGAUGACCAUUUCCACGAGGAUUAAGUAUUUAAUCUAGCUUCAAUCAACACUAACUUUAUUUGAACAACAAAAUUUGAUGGAUAAGGGAUAAGUUAUACUAGCAUCCAAAACCCAUAUAACUAAUUUAACUAACUAGCUAAUUGGUAGUGAAGUAUUUAUAAAAACUUAAUUAAGGGCAAGUACUAAGACUUCCAAUCCCCUUAUAUUCACCCAUUUUAAUAAUAAUUCUAUUAUUUGACAACACUUUCAGACUAGAAAAUAAAAUUUCCUAUUUUAUCUAAUAAUUUCUCUCAGGUCAAAUUAAAUUUAUCAUCACAUAUGACUAUUAUAUAUAUCUAUGAAGGAUGCGAAUACAAAAAGAUGCAUUAAAUCACAAGAACAUUCGUAAGAUCAUGUAAAACAUAGUGGUAUAUCUCUAUCCCUAAUUAAACUUUAAAUGAUUGUUACUAUGUGCUGUAAUCUAUAUUCCUUCUCUUGAAUAUCAAUAGAAAUCACGAAAAAUUCUAUUAAUGAUCAAGUAUUAUAAAAAGAUUGAACUCCUAACAAUCAUUCAAAGCCAACCAUGUAUUUAAUGUCAAAAUUGGAAAUUAAUUUCAAAACGUUAAAACAUAGGGUCAACAUUAUCCUAGAAUCUAUAUAAUUAGCUAAGCAUCAUAUGAUUCGAAAUAUAGCAUUUAAAUUGAUACAACAUCAAUGAAAUUGAAGCAUUGAAAGAAGAUGAAAAAUGAUCUUGGAUUGUUGAAUCUCUUCAAUGGAUUGUAGAUGAAGAUUGUCUUUAUAGCUCAAAAAUGUAGCUUCUACACUUAUUCGAUGUCCUAAAUUAUGAUAUUUUACUGUUCUUUGGAUAAAAUACUAUCUCACUUAUGUUAUAUGGUAUUUUGUAGGUAAAACUCAACGUUUUAAGAAAAAUUGGAGAAAAGAAUGUAAAAAUAGUGAAAAAGAGAGCGAAAUCCAAAUGUCAGAGACCAAAUUGCAAACAAUUCAUAGAUGAGACAGGUGAUAAAAUGAAAAUCAAAGAUGCCAAUGAUUUAAUUACAUACAAUUGAAAGGUAAAAGAACAAUAUUAUAAAAGAAAGGGGCUGAAAUGAAGCAAAUCCAAAGUUUGGGGACUAAAGUACAAAUAUUUAAAAGCUGUGUUGAAUCUCACAAUAAAGAUUUGAGAGUAUUAGGGGUCAAUUGGAUAAUGAAAGAAGUCGAGUGGAUUAAAUAUAUUCAAAGUAUCGUUGCAUAUCAACUUUCAGAUAAAAAAGUUAUGCUUUUGAUUUUAAGUCCUAGUUUGAGACAUAUUUUUGGCAUAGCAAACAUUUGAAUUGGAAGAAUGAUAUUUCCAAAAGAAUUGCAUCCCUUUGAGUUAGUUUUUUAACGUAAUUUGAAUCACUACAAUCAAAUAUUCAGUGAAAAAUAUAUGACAAAAAUGUUUAAAGCUGUCCGUCAGGAAAAAANCUAUAAAUUAGACCUCAUUCAUCGUGAAAAUGAUAAUCUUAACUCAAAAAUCUUAUUAGUUAUACAAUGAUCCCGUACACUUAUGAGUUUAACGUGAACAAUAGCCACCAAAUUAGAUUGAAACUUGUGCCCUAAUUGUUUUCCAAGUAAAAGUUGAAUCAAAUUAAGAAAUCCAAUCAGAUCUAUCAACAAUACCCAUAUGAUAACAUGGUUAGAAUCCUUGAAAUUGCAUGGUGUACCUCUUUUGGCUGUAGGAUAAAGUCUUGCUUCUUGUUAUCACAAGGUUCAAACUAUAACCUCAAUGCAAGUUGGUCAUUGACUUCCUCCCUUGGUUUAGCUCGAGUCUUUUCUAAUUUGCACAUUCAUCCUUAGUUAGUCAAUUCAAGUUUUGAAAGUUUACAAUUGAGUCCUGAAACUUUCCAAUAUUGAAUUUGACUCCCUAAAUUUAUAAAUUUCUUUUGUCUGCUCUCUUAAUUCUUCUAAUUAAUCACUUGCAAUCGAAUUAUCUUUAAUUGUUCCAAAUCAACUUCAAUAAAGUUCAAAGCCGUAUUUCUUAAGUCCAAUUUAAUCCAAGUCGAAGUAUUACCUAUAAGUGAUAAAUCUAGACUAUAUUAUAAAUACAGUCACUCAAUUCGUAAGAAAUAGUCAAGUGUAGAAGCCUAGAUGAGUGUAUAAAAUACACUUAUCAAAUAUCAUCAAACUUAAAUUCUUGUUUGCCUCGAGCAAUACUUAACAUACAAGCAAAUAAAAAAUAAAUAAAUCAAGGCAUUAGAUAACUUGCCAUACUCUCCUUACAUAUUGAAACUGUUUGACAAUUCAUAAAAGGUUCAUAAGUAAUGCUACCGAAAAUAAUUUUCGCUUAGGCAAUCAUGGAUCUCUGUGUGUGUGCAUAGUCAAUCGAUUCCACAAACUUUUAGUUGUCGAUUUACCGAUCCUCAAUAGCCAAUUUUUUGCUCUCUCUCAUGAGAUACACAUCCCCAAUUUCAAUCUCACAACCAAUGUACUUUGCUAAGGUUGAUUUCACAAUAUUCAUUCCUUUCAUGCUCAAGUUGGUUGAUUUUAACCAAUGAAAGCAACUAUCUCGAUCUAUAAUGGUUCUCUAUUGAUUUGAGUAUCUCAAACUUCAAGCAUCUUCUAGGCUAAUCUCCAAACUAGAAAUCUAGAUUUUGAAUUAAGUGUUCAUGGCUUAGCUGGAUCGAAAAAGUGCUUAUAGUUAUUUUGUCACUGCGUUAAAACAUUUUGUCGUGCUUUUAUUUCUUUUUUCUACCUAUUAUCCAAAAACACUCCACACUAGUUUCCAACAAGUACGAAUUCAGCAUCGCUUUAAAUAGGUUUAGAACUGGAUUGGCCACUCCCAAACUAGUCCAUUUCAAUUGGUUAAGUGGUCAUAUAACAUAAUAUGUUCGUGGUUUUAACAAUCCAAGUCGCUUCAACCUAUUCUAACGAUGUGCUAAAUCCAAAAAUACAUGUUGAUCAUCAUGAGUCUAGUGUUCAUAAAAUACAAUCUAGCAUCGACAAAUAUAAAGUUAGGAAAAAAUUGCAUCAUCUAGACACAAUACAUGAGUUAUAAAUAUUCUAAAUAAUCAUCAUUAUUAGCUGACAAGGCUAUCCAACUUAUACAUGCAUACAUUAAAAAAAACAAUUGAAUUUUUUUCCUUUUUUUAUUCUCAAUUUUUAAGACAUGUCACACAAAUAAACAAAGAAAACUAACAAAAAUACACCGCCAAACUAAAAAUACACAUUGUCCACAAUUUGAGCACAACUUAAACCUAAUGUAAGGUUAGCGAUACUUAUUAUGCUGAGUCAUAUGAUGAAGCCUCUACAUUAAAACGUGGUCUUUUAUCAUCAUUUUCUCUCAUUUGCUUGGUUUUUAGAAUAUAUCCCUAAUAAGUGCGAAGAGAAAAGAAAAUUAAUUAUCAAUACAAUCACAAGAGAGUUAAAGCUAAUUUUUGAUCAACUGGGAAUGUGGAAUGACAAAAAAAUUUGACAUGAUUGUGGUGCUAGGAAUACUAUCCUCAGUAUGGAAAAAAAAAAAAAGAGAGAAGCUAAAUAAGUAUUAAAUACAAUUCUAACUCACUACUUGCAAUAUGAAAAGAUAGAAAAUUGGAUUACCUCCCAAUAAACAUUAGCUUUUAGUCUUAGCCCAAAUUUUUGCGAUUAUAUAUUCCUGGCACUUUGAAUUUGGCUUUAGAGGUCUUGCUUGAUUUGUGUAGGUCGAUUUUGCACCAAACUUCAGAUAUCCUCCAAUCUCUGAAUUUGCUCUCCUCAAACAAUGUGACUUGCCUACAAAAUCCGAAUUGAACUUAACUAAGAAUACUUCAAUCUCCUCAUCAACUUUAAAAAAAUAAUAAUAAAAAAAAUAAAUAAAUAAAACCUUAAGUUUGGAGAAUUAUAUGCUAAUUCCAUCUUCAUUGAAUAUCAAUAAUUCGGUUAGCUUCUAAUUAAUUCCUCAUUCACUACACGCUCUUCUUCUUUAUUUGUUAUUUCCUUGAUCUGAAUGAUGAGGAGAUCACCCAAAGAUAUGUUGUCUUCAUUAAUUUGGAGACAGAGAUUCAUCAUGUACAUGGAAGCUAUAAUCCCCAUAGUACUUCAAGGGUAAAUCAUCCUCAUUAACUUUGUUUGCACCAUGUAUUUGGAAGACCGAUAAUUCCCGUAAUACACCCAAUGACACAUCAUCUUUAUCAACUUCGACAAAUUCAUAUAUCCCUUCAUUAAAAUUUUUUGCAUGAUGUACGGAUCUCCCAUAAGCAUUUUAUCUUCAUUAAUUUUGAGAUCUCCUGUCUUAUAUGAUUGUCAACAGGGGCGGAGCCAUGAAUAUUGUUCAAUACGAGCACAAUAGAGAUUUGACGCACCUGUUGAUGAAUUUUGGCUUGGCCUCCUUCAUCAAGCGACUUUUGUGGUGAAAAUGUUGUUAGCAUUUACACCUAUUUAUGUUUUAAGCUACACUGAGACAAUCAGAUUAAAAAAUUGUAAUAUUUUAUGUGCUUUGAAGCAUAGAUAUUGGAUUGUUAACAUAAUCUCCAUUGAAAUAAGUACCUGCAUACAAACUUCUUUUCAUGCUUGAAGGUAGAACCUUGUGAACACCUAAAAUUGUCGUCAUUAUUUCUUUACAAAGCAAACUAGUCAGUAUGUCCAAGUUUUGCCCAAUAAUAGAAUAUAUGAAUUGACAUAGCUUAUCAAAUUCAUAUAUUCUAUUAAGAGUGGUCUCACUUUAAGCCCAAAUCCAGUUAAUUAAAAGCAAAAUCAAGUUAUAGAAAGCCAAAUCUGUCCUCAAUUCAAGUUUAUAGAGAGAAAAAAUAAAGUUAAUAGAAAUAAAAAUCUACUCCCUUUCCAAAUCUCUUCAUUUCUGUUAAGCCCAAAUAAAAUUAAUUGGAAGAGAAAUCAAGUUAAGCUCAAAUCAAACUAUCAAGUAAAAUCAAGCAAAAUCUACUUUCAAUUCUAUCUAUUUUACACUUUCAAGUUAAGCCCAAAUCAACAUCCAUACAUUCAUAUUACUCAAAUAUACAUAAUAACAUUAAUAAGCAUGUGGCGCACACUCAAUUAGAAGCAAUCAAACACACAUAAUAACAACUCUAUUCAAUGUCAAAUACAUAGGUAAGUCUCUACUCAAACAGACAUAAUAACAUUCCGAAAGUAAAUACUCAGAGGCAAAGCAAAAUUCGCAUAAAAUUAUAGAAUAACAGGGACCGACCACUUGGCACUUAACAAAUGAGAUGCCAAGAAACGAAUUAACGAUGGACCUUCCUUCUUCAUCUUUGGUCGAUUGGAGGCUUCUGCCGUUGAGACGUCUUAACAAGCAAGGUCGCGACGGACUCAGUGAUGAGAGCGGAGGGUCGGAGAUUGAGACUAGGAG